GAUUCCUGGUGGGCGAAGAACACAUGUAUAGAGCAUUCCACCUCCUAGAAGAAUUGACUAGUCUGCUUGAAGCAAAGAGAAUCGUGGUGCUUCUGAACACACAUUUCCAGUGAUUGUACAUCUUGCAGCAAUAUAUUCAAUAUCUAUGUUUCAGUAGCACUUCAGUGACCAAUUCCAAGUAUGCACUGCUCAAUUGCAAACAUCUCUAAAUGAGCUAUUUUGUCCAGCUAAGGUGAUUAAACUACAGCACAGGUGAGGGCAGUGACUGGGUCCUGAGGAGUACUUCAGAGUCAGGAGGGGAAGUGGGUACUCUGUGCUACGCAUUACAGAUCUUCAUAAUUCCUCAUACAUACAGUAGCUGUAGCAGCAACUUCAUCAGAGCAAUUGUUUAGUCAACCUUUUCUUCAUUGGAGCUACUGGACUUGUUACAGC